UCUCUCUCUCUCUCUCUCUCAGGAAAAUGGUGGAGGUGAGUAUUUCAGUAGAUCAGGACCAGUUCAUCUGUCCAGUCUGUCUGGAUCUCCUGUGGUCCAGCACAGUUACAGUUACACUAUCCUAUCACAAUACAGUGGAGAAGUGUUCCUGUUUUGUUUCCAUCGUCUUCGUCUCAGUGGGUCUGUGGUGUGUGUGUUUCCAUCGCCACUCCCAGGACUAAUCGGUGUCUGGAGGCGAGGCUCUUUGUGUGGAAGUCCUUCUCCAAGGUCAAGGUUGGGCUGAAGGAAUAGCAGCUCCCAUUUCGUCUCAAGGUUGCAGACGAUUAUUGUUUGUUUGUUUUCUUUUGUUCUUGAUAGCCCACCUGCAGACCCAGCCUGGCGAAGUAACCAGCAUGUGGUGUUUUCUUUCGUUUUCUUCUAUUUUUUGGACUCGUGACCAUUAAUAAAAUAUUGUACUAAUUUACACUGCAUCGGCGUUCGCAUCUUCAGUAUGCAAGACAUGACAUUUACAGAAAUAACAAACAUACAGAGUGUAUUUCUGAGUUAUUCUAAUGUUCUAUUCUCAGAGUCUAUUUUUCCAGUUAUUUUUAUAUUUUAAGUUUGAUGUCUUUAAAUGUAUUUUUAAACAAUAACAAUAAACAGAUACAAACAGAGAUAAGCUAUAUAACAGUUCAUUCUUUGUACAAAUAAAACUGUCAGAACGGGAUCUUUUUCUAACUAAUGUUUUGUUUUUUGUUUUUUUUUUAACGUAA